CCUAGGGCAUGCUGCCCCACAAGACUAAGCGAGGCCAGGCUGCCCUGGACCGCCUCAAGGUGUUUGAUGGGAUCCCACUGCCCUAUGACAAGAAAAAGCGGAUGGUGGUUCCAGCUGCCCUCAAGGUUGUGCGUCUGAAGCCUACGAGAAAGUUUGACUACCUGGGGAGCCUGGCUCAUGAGGUUGGCUGGAAGUACCAGGCUGUGACAGCCACCCUGGAGGAGAAGAGGAAGAACGCCAAGAUCCACUACCGGAAGAAAAUGCAGCUCAUGAGGCUACGGAAACAGGCCGAAAAGAAUGUGGAGAAGAAAAUUGACAAAUACACAGAGGUCCUCAAGACCCAUGGACUCCUAGUCUGAGCCCAAUAAAGACUUUAUUCCUCAAAAAAAAAAAAAAAAA